UGCUCUGAGAUGACACGGAUGAUGGAAUGGGUUGUUUGGGGCAGUGGCUCUGGAGCUCUGGAAAGCAGAGUGUCUCCACAGAUGGGGCCACAUCACCGCCCCAUACCUCCCCGCUCCCGGCCCCACACCUCCCUGCUCCCAGCCCCAGCUGGCUCCGCCCAGCAGGCUCUGGCAGCCUGGAGCACGCGGGCUCAGGUGACAGGCAUGUGCCGCAGGAGUGUGGGCAGAGCUGGACGCCAGAACCCCAGGCGGGCACCUCCAGCCCAGCCCUUGACCUCAGUGACUCACUUGCCAGGCAUGAUGGCGGAGGUGGCAUGAGGUUCAGAGCUCCACAGGAGGGGCUCAGUGGGCAGGCAGGGUGGCUGGGGACCCCGUGGGGGAUUACAGGUAGCUAGCUCUCAAGGGCUAGAUUUGGACAUCAGGACUUGGGUGGGGUCCUCACAAUUUGAGUCCGUACAGCGUCCAGGAUCGGGGUCUGCAGGUGGGACCAGAUGUUCUCUGAGCCCUCAGGUCUAUUUCCAGGAACUCGAUCCUGACCAACAUAGAUGUCUAGAGGGCCGGCAGGAAGUAGAGGGCAGGGUGAGUCCUGGGUGGUAGCAGUUGGUGAUGGAGACAUGCCUAAGUGGUGAAGUGGUUUUUUUUUUUUUUAACUUUAUAAAAAAUUUUAUUUGUUCUUUUUAGUUAUACAUGGUAGUAGAGUGCGUUUUGACAUAUCAUACAUGCAGUAUAACUUCCCAUUCUUGUGGAUGUGCAUGAGGUGGAGUUACACUGGUCAUGUAUUCAUAUAUGAACACAGGAAAGUGACGUCCAAUUCAUUCUACUACCUUUCCCAUUCCCUUCCCCCUACUCCCCCCCUCUCUCAUCUGGUGAACCUCCACUCCUCCCUCCCUCACCCCAACACCUCCUGCCUGUUGUGGGUCAUUAUCUGCAUGUGAGAGAGAACACUGGCCUUUGAUUUGGGGGGACUGCCUAUUUCACUUAGCAUAAUAGUCCCCAGGUCCAUCCAUUUACUGGCAAAUGACAUAAUUUCAUUCUUCUUUAUGGAUGAAUAACAUUCCAUUGUGUCUAUAUGCUACAUUUUCUUUAUCCAUUCAUCUGUUGAAGGGCACUAGGUUGGUUCCACAGUUUGGCUCUUGUGAAUUGAGCUGCUGUAAACAUUGAUGUGGCUGUGUCCCUGUAGUAGGCUGAUUUUAAGUUCUGUGAGUAUAGACCAAGGAAUGGGAUAACUGGGUUAAAUGGUGGUUCAAUUCAAGUUUUCUGAGGAAUCUCCAUACUGCUUUCCAGAGUGGUUGCACCAACUUGAAGUUCCACCAACAAUAGAUGGUGAAGUUUUGAAUCCACAUUCAUUGGGGUCAGGGCUUUUGUGGCCGCUGGAUGGACCUCAGCCCACAGAGUAGGGCGAGACAAGGGCGUGGAGAAGAGUUUGACUGAAUGUCAGGACCAGGAUGUGACCCCAGAGAGGCAGAGGCCAGGUUGAAUGGGUGUAGGGUACUCUCUAUGGCCAGGGAAAUGGGACUUAGGUUGGCAGCCACCUUGGCCACCUGAGUUGGGUUCAGCUCAGAUUGGAGUGAUCUGUAAUGCAGAGCAGGCUGAGGGUGACCCCCUGGUGGAUACUCGAAGUGUGUGUGUGUUCCUGCAGGAGAAGCAGAGGACCAAGUGGAGGUGACAGCCACAAGCAGAAGGAGAGCCCAAAGCCACCUGGGUGGCCCCAGGACGGCUUCCCAGAAGAGGCUACCAGUUCCACCUGUGUGCCCCAACCCUGCCCCUGCCCUGAGGUCCAGAGGGGCACCCAGGGAGGGCCUCCACAGGUCCUGUUCUUCCUUUCUGAGUGACUGCCUUAAAAUAACAUUCUCAUGGCCAUUUGUCCACCCCCAGUUCCUUCCUUCUCUGGUUUCCACUUUUACACCACACCAGGAGUUUUUCUGUGAACACAACUCCUAUUUGAUUAUUCUCCAGCUCAGAAGCCUUCCAUGGCUCCCUACUGCUCAUGGAAGGAAUCUUCUUAACUUUUCAUCUAAGGUUCCCUGCAAUAUGACCUCUGCUUGAAGACCCUCUUCAAGCUUCUACCCGUGCUGAAAAUAGUGGAGAAUUGGCCAUUUAUCCUAAAUUCUACAAAGAUCCUGCCCUGUGCUUUGGAUUAGGCUCUGCCAGGAAGCUUUGGUGUCUUUGCCUUCCUUCUGAAGCCAGGCCUGGCCUCCCAGGGCCUGCUCACAUGCCCUUCACCCGCCAAUCGAGGGCUUCCUGCCUGCAGGGGGUUCUUCCUCCCCCUCACUGGGCUAUUGCCUUGUCCUGGGUGCUACAUUAGUAUGUAUUCUUAACAUUUUUGUUCAUUAUUCUCUCUCCCUAAACAGAAUGCAAGGGAGCUAAAUCUAAGAUGGAGAGUGUCCUGCCCCGCCUUGCUCUUCCCCCACACGAGGACCUUGUCCUCCUCCCUUCGUGUUCUCGUUCUGGCUGGGGGACUUGUCCAGCUAUUCUCUGCCCGGUGAACCCCAGAGAAGCUCCCCCAGGGUUUCAAGAGGCACCCAAGCUCUCUCGAUGGCGCUGUCCCACCCACAGCUCUCUGCGCGUCUGAAUUGGCCCUCUCCUGGCUGCUGGUCUUCCUGCCGGGCCCUUGGCUCCCAUGUGCAGAGCCUGGGGCUUCCAGCUGCUGUAGCCCUGCUGCCCAGGAAGGACCAUGCAGGAGGCCCCAGAUGUGUUGGCUGAAGGCAAACCCAGAGCUGGGGAGAUGGGGGCAAAGCUACAUACACCUCCAGCCACAGCCACUGGGCGCUGGUGGGCGGAGGGCAGUGUGUGGGAAGGUGCGUGGUGCAAGGUCGGGCAGCCAUGGCUGAACACCAUCUCUGCUCCCAGCCAGUUAGCUCAGCCCUGGAAAAUCACCACAGUGUCCUCAUUCUGCAGAGUCUGGAUAAGACUCCAGGGAUCAGGGGGAAGAGGAGAAGAGGGGCGUGCAGGCCAGCUCCGUCCCAUCUCCCAGUGGGGAAUCCAUCAGCUCACAGCCACCGAGUCGGAGGCCCGCAGCAGGUCCCAGCUGGAGAUGGCAGUGCCUCAGAAAGACCUUGGCUGUGGGUGCCAGGAUGCGAUGCUUCCAGAACUCUCCAUGUUCCCUCAUCUCUGCCAAUUCACAGCCCGGCUUUACUGUCCCCUGCACACUGACUUUCUCCAUGGCAGCCAGACCACAAUGUGAGGUUCCUGCAGGGAGGAGGCCCCCGGGGUGGAAGCGGGUGAGGAUUUUGGGGAAGGCUGCCAGCCCAGGUCUGGUGGUCAGCCCCAGCCACUGCUGGUCAGCAGGGCAUUUGAGGGGGCAGGGGCUGGGUCUCCCUGCAGUCCUAUGAUGCAACAACCCCUGGAAGGUGCGGCAGCUCUUCCCCUGGCUUGGGAAGUGGAAAAUCCCAGGGAGGGGCACGGAUGCUGCUUGGUGAACACAGGUGUGCCGGCAGGGGCAGAAACAGCCCCCAGGCCCCGGCGCCAGCAGAGAGCGCCAGGCUGUGCCUUGCAGUCCCGCUGCCCACUUCCCUGGUGGCCGGUCUUGAUCCGGAGCUGUGCAAGGGAUGAGAAUCCUGAGGAGCGUCAGCCCUUCCUGGCUAAGUCGACACCUCCUGGAGCUGCCACUUGAGCUCUUCCAAGGUCCACACCUUACAGUCUCUGCCUGACCCGUGUCCCUACCCCCACAGCCCGCGUGGUCCCUGUCUGGGUUGGGUGUCCCUCCCUGGACCACAUGCCUCUGGACCCAGAGUCAGGCAGGAAGGUGAUAAAAGAGCAGCUUCUGCAAGCACCUGAGCCGAGGUGGUUUCUUGGGACAGGAAGGCUACGACGGUGUCACCUCAAUCAUCAUUCACACGUUAUCCAUUAAAGUGAUAAAGUGGGGGAAACGUGGGCGAGGACCUUGUAUCAAAGAGAAGGACGCCAAACCUGUGGGUCACGAGCAACCAUGAACUUGUCCUUCUGGGGCACGGCACAUGGCUCUCUGGGUCCCAAGGACCACAGCCAGUCCUAUAUCCUCAGUGUGAACGUGAGCACCUGCCACCCCCACACUCCGCCACAGGCUUCAGGUAGGGGACCGUGUCCAGUACAGCCCUGCCCCCAGGUGUGCCUGUCACAGCAAGAGUGCCCACGCACACUGGGGCUGUGUGUGAGCAGCACCCCUCCUGGGACCCCCCUCCGUCUCCUCCGGGCAAUCAGGGCAGCUGUCCCCGUCCCUACGGCAGACAUCUUCCACGCUUCUGGCUACGGUGCUCUUUAAAUCCACUCACAAACCUCUCUCUGGCACCAGCCGUGUGCCAGCACUGUGCCUGCCCCUGCGGAGCUGAGUCUGGAGUGAGGGAGAAUAGAAAGUCACCACAUUGUCCCUGUGAGGCUAAGUAUUUGGAUGCUGGAUGCUGGGAGGUGCCUACAUCCCUCUGAGGGCUUCUCCUUGGCCUUCCCAUACAUUGUAUGGCUCUUCUUUUCCAGUCUCCCACAUCCCCUUUCCCAGUGUUGGAGUGUGUGCCUUCCCCCCAGGGCUGAAUUCUUUCCAGACUUUGGGAGAACCUGGGCAUCCUGGCUUGGGCCUUCUGCUCUGACCUGGAGCUGCUCCGUUUUGGACGAAGGAACUGGUUCCCAGAGCUGCCAGCUGCUAUUCCUCACACCUGCCCGCCCCCUGCCCCUUCCCAUACCAGAGGACACCAGGCAGGAGUCUGGCAAGAACGACCCGCCCAGACACCCCAGGGCCUCUGUGAUCACCCAGAGAGCUCCGCCCGUGACGCCCGAGUCCUCCAGAGGCAGGUCAGGCUGCAAAGCUGCUUGGAAAUGUGUGGGUGGGGAGGGGCCCGCUUGGGUCUCCCAAGCCUCCAUGGCCCUGCUUGGGAGAGGAGGGGGGAGUCUAAAUAAAUGGUGUCCCCAGAGCAAAUCGAGUUAAAUGUUAGAAACAUCCCCAAGUCCUGAAACACCCCAGGCCUGGCUGCAGCUGCAGCUGUGUUUCUCUUAGACGGUGCCAGGAAAGCAAAGAUCCUGAGGCUUGAUGCCACACCAACCCGGCUGUGAGUCCUGGCUGCAGUCCUGAUUGGCUGGAUGUGUCUGAACAGCAUGUUUAGCUUCUCCUCAACCGUCAGCCUUCCUGAAAAUGGACACCAUGUACCCUACAGGGCUGCCAGGAAGAGUGAUUAUGUAAAUAUUGAGUUGAAGGCUCCAAGGCUAUUUUUACCAAUAAUAGCCAAGUGGAUUCUCACGGCCUCUUAGGCUUGUUGUGGAGAUCAAUGAGGCCAUUUGAAUGUAUUCGGUGGUUUUGUUCUUGGCUUGUAUCCCUUGAAUC
rnacentral:lncRNA from 1 species